UCGCCAGACUCCUACGGGAGGCAGCAGUGGGGAAUAUUGCACAAUGGGCGCAAGCCUGAUGCAGCCAUGCCGCGUGUAUGAAGAAGGCCUUCGGGUUGUAAAGUACUUUCAGUCGGGAGGAAGGUGGUAAGGUUAAUAACCUUGUCGAUUGGCGUUACCCGCAGAAGAAGCACCGGCUAACUCCGUGCCAGCAGCCGCGGUAAUACGGAGGGUGCAAGCGUUAAUCGGAAUUACUGGGCGUAAAGCGCACGCAGGCGGUCUGUCAAGUCGGAUGUGAAAUCCCCGGGCGCAACCUGGGAACUGCAUUCGAAACUGGGAGGCUGGAGUCUUGUAGAGGGGGGUAGAAUUCCAGGUGUAGCGGUGAAAUGCGUAGAGAUCUGGAGGAAUACCGGUGGCGAAGGCGGCCCCCUGGACAAAGACUGACGCUCAGGUGCGAAAGCGUGGGGAGCAAACAGGAUUAGAUACCCGAGUACAA
rnacentral:rRNA from 1 species